rnacentral:rRNA from 1 species
GACGAACGCUGGCGGCGUGCCUAAUACAUGCAAGUCGAGCGAAUCUUUGGGAGCUUGCUCCCAAAGAUUAGCGGCGGACGGGUGAGUAACACGUGGGCAACCUGCCUAUGAGACUGGGAUAACUCCGGGAAACCGGGGCUAAUACCGGAUAAUUCUUUUCUACACAUGUAGAAAAGUUGAAAGAUGGUUUCGGCUAUCACUCAUAGAUGGGCCCGCGGCGCAUUAGCUAGUUGGUGAGGUAACGGCUCACCAAGGCGACGAUGCGUAGCCGACCUGAGAGGGUGAUCGGCCACACUGGGACUGAGACACGGCCCAGACUCCUACGGGAGGCAGCAGUAGGGAAUCUUCCGCAAUGGACGAAAGUCUGACGGAGCAACGCCGCGUGAGUGAUGAAGGUUUUCGGAUCGUAAAACUCUGUUGUUAGGGAAGAACAAGUACCGGAGUAACUGCCGGUACCUUGACGGUACCUAACCAGAAAGCCACGGCUAACUACGUGCCAGCCGCCGCAGUAAGAC